rnacentral:rRNA from 1 species
CAGUCGCCGCGGGAAUACGAAGGGUGCAAGCGUUAAUCGGAAUUACUGGGCAUAAAGCGUGCGUAGGCGGUGAGUUAAGUCUGCUGUGAAAUCCCCGGGCUCAACCUGGGAAUGGCAGUGGAUACUGGCUCGCUAGAGUGUGUCAGAGGAUGGUGGAAUUCCCGGUGUAGCGGUGAAAUGCGUAGAGAUCGGGAGGAACAUCAGUGGCGAAGGCGGCCAUCUGGGACAACACUGACGCUGAGGCACGAAAGCGUGGGGAGCAAACAGGAUUAGAUACCCCCGUAGUCCCUGUCUCUUAUAC